UACGUAGGGUGCGAGCGUUGUCCGGAAUUAUUGGGCGUAAAGAGCUCGUAGGCGGUUUGUCGCGUCUGCUGUGAAAACCUAAGGCUCAACCUUGGGCUUGCAGUGGGUACGGGCAGACUAGAGUGCGGUAGGGGUGACUGGAAUUCCUGGUGUAGCGGUGGAAUGCGCAGAGUAUCAGGAGGAACACCGAUGGCGAAGGCAGGUCACCUGGG
rnacentral:rRNA from 1 species